GGGGAGAGGAGCGGGGAGCAGGAGGGGACGCAGGGGAGAGGGGACUGGGGAGCGGCGAGAGGAGGACGGGAGACGCGGCUCCACCUCCCAGCUCAAAACGGCGUCCCAGCUGCUCGCAAACCAACUGCUCGAUUCUAUUCACUGUCGAGUAGGAACAAAAAAGUGGCUAUUUAUUAGAAUACUUGUUUGGUAUUGUUCCGCGCCACACAAAAGGCGUUUCAUUAUGUGGAGGGAUCUCCUUUUUCCAGAGAGAAACAAUAACUUGAAAUUGUCUUUAAAGUCUUUUCUAUCAAUAAUAAAUUUCAUUUUCUUGUCUCUCUCGCCUGCAGUGUGUGUGCGCGCGCGCGAGGCGAGGAGAGAGGCGCGUGUGCGAGUGAGUGUGCUAGCGGGGGUGCGCGUGUGAGUGUGCGCGUGUGUGUGCGUGCGCGUGGCACCGGCGCCCGCGGCUACGGGGCUGGCGCUGCCGGAGCCGGGCCGGACCGGGGUCCGAGAUCUGCGUCGCGCUGGGCACGCUGGCCACCCGGUCCGGAAUGAGUUGGGGCUCCGGGAGGUGCCCGUGGGCAGAGCGUUAGGGCGCGGCCGUGCCGGACCCGCCCUGGGGACCCGCUGGAGCUGGAGGAGGAACUAACUAUGGCUUGGCAUCUUCUUCCGAGCAAGCGCAGCUCUCAGGCCGGGCCUGAGCCUGCAGCCUGUGUGCCCUCCAUCAUCAGGGCCCCCUCUCAGGACAGGCUACACCGAGGGUGGGACGGUGGACUUCCAGGGACACUUCCAAGUCGUGCCCAUGCAGAUACCUCAGUAUACACUGCCCACAGUUAAGAAACCACGACCUGAGACAUUGUUUUGAAGAGGUGAAAAUGCCUCCACUCAAGUGGCCCAGGAGCGUGAUCCAGGAAGACGAACACACAGAACCAUCUUCUGCAUUGUUUGAAAAUUCAGUGGAAACUAGUGUGGGGAAAGCAGUCAAGCCCGCGCGGAGCGAUUGUGAGGGGCUCUGCUGGAAUUUGGCAGCGCGGAGGCUUGGAGAGAAGCCCCAUGCUGGCUCCCAUUCAGCCGGCCCGUUUUCCUCGAGCUUUGGAAGUUUCACUCAGCCGUGCACUCAAUGGCUUCACAAAGCUGAUUACAAGCUUCAGCGCAUUCCUGAAGGAGCCAAAAGCGACGCAGUCUCCAUCACAAUCACUUAUCUGGAAACCUGCGGUUGGAUUAAUCGUUAUAUUCCCGAGAUGAGCGUUGCUGCAAUCCGCAGCGAACGCGGGACUCCAAGCUGCUGUCCCCUCUCUGCCGCAUCUGAGGCUGGAAAAACUUCCUAGGAGAAGGCAAGAGAAAGCCACCAGACCAGAGCCGAGGACUAAACUUUAAGGUCGAAGACGGCAGAGGGGCAGGUUCUCCCCUGCACACCCCAAGGCCUCUCCUGCACCCGCGAGGCCUUCCUUGAGCGCCCAGGCCCCCGAAAUGCCUGCCCUCCUUCUGACAAAAGGAGGGGGUAGGAUGUGGAGGGGUAGUGCAACCAAUAAUGUUUUUGUAAACACAACAACAGGGAAAUACAUGGAGGGAAUCUAUUUAUUGGGUGUGUCAUUUUUGGUGGGGGGCGGGAUUGAAAGUGGAGUCAUCUAGACCCAGGAAAAAGCUACGGGGUGGGCGGGGUAAGUGGGGGACUCUUGGUAAAUGUGGAUAAUUUUGAACUGGAACACCAUUUUGUUUCCUUCCUGGAGAAUUGUAUGAUGUGGCCUGAAGGCUCUGGAAAGUCACAGAUCACACCCAGCAGGAGGUUCUUCAUGUGUGCCAGCCCCUGGCUGGGCCUGGGCAGCCUUGCCCCCAUCCUCUGGCCCCAGCUCCUGCCACCGUUCCUGCCACUCCACCUGCAGACAAGGCUGCCAAAGGCUAGGAACAGGGCUCCAAGCCAGAGGCCGGCUUUUUGGAGAUGUGGCUGUGGGAGGGGAAUUCCUGGAAGUUGCAUAGAGAGGGAGUUUUUGCCAGCCUGGGUCACUGAUGGCCAGUCUGGGUCACUGAUGUCUCCCCAGGGGUGAGGGGACAGUGCCUGGCUAAUCGUGGGUUUCAAAAUCUGUCUGUUGAGGGGAUGCAGAGGUCAUCGUUGGGGGGGUGAAGCUGAUGGUCCACGGAAGCUCUGGGCACAGGUUGGACCUCUUUCCUGCAUAAAGAACCCUCCAGGGUGCCCAGUGGUUCUGGCCAGCGCCGGAGCCAGUGACGGUUGGCUUGUUCUGGCCUUCCUCCCCUUCUCACACAUGCAUUCUCUUGCACACGUGUCACACACAUUCCUACACACUCACACAAAUUCUCACUCACACAAAUUCUCACACACACAAAUUCCCAGAAUCAAUCUCCCACACACACAUCCAAGUCACACACUCAUUCUUACAUGCGAUUCACAGAUUCACACGAUUCACAGAUGCAACAGACUCACAGGCAUUCACUCUUACAUAUGACACAGUUGCACACUUGUGCGCGUGCACGCACACACACACACACACACGCACUGCAAUCCCCUUGCAUCUCCACAGUGUCGAAGGCUGGCUGAACACCAAGGCGGCUCUUGGUGGCAGGACUUCUCAUGGGAGGGAAAGUCACAUAGCUGGAAGGUUACUAGCUUAGGGACAUAAUUUCCUUGUUGACUAUAAUCUCCUUAUAGAAAUUCAACAACUAUAGCAGAAAAUGGAGAACGAGGACAUUUUAUUUCUCAAAGUCAACAGUUCCUUUUCUCCUGCAGCUUCGGAGCAGGCUCCUGCCUGAGGCUGCUGAGGUGCUCUGGGUUCUCGCUGUUUUCAGCCUCCAGGUUCAGGCUUUCCUCAGUGCAUUUUCCUCGGCUGCCCUUGGACUUGUGUUGUCCGGGGUGGUGGCCACUGGCCCCCAGUGGCUACUGAGCAGGGAGAGCAGGGCCCCUCUGCGGUGAGGUGCUGCUCGGUGUAAAACACACACGAGAUUUUCCAGAUGCAGUACUCAAAAGCAUGUGAAACUCCUCAGUCAUCACUUAAAAUAUUGAUCACAGGUUGAAAUGAUUAUAUUUUAGAUACCUUAGGUUAAAUAAAAUAUAUUAUUGAAAUUUCACCUUCUUUUUGCUUUCUAAAAAUGUAGCUCUUAGGAACUUUGCAAUUACCUACAUGGCUACUUGUGCGUUAUCUUCCUGCUGGGCAGUGCGAGACCUUCUCACAGAUCCUUCAGAAAUGGCAAAGGAAAAGCAAAAAUGGUGGAGAAGACUGAGCACAUGGCCUCGCGGGAGGCCGGCUCAGAGCUGUUCUGAAGUUGCUUUUGUAACAAUCUAUUCUCAAAGCUCCUUUUCUUUCAAUGGGGCAGGUUGGGGGUGGGGAGGGGCAUUACACCUUGUAUUUUACUUCUCGAUUCAUUUUCUUUCCAUUUUAACUUUAAUUCCGUCUAAUUACUGUAUUGUGAGCUCAGUCAGCAAUCUUGCAUGAACUCUGCAGUAACUUCUGAAGACUCUUGCUCCAAGUGUUUGAUAAUGAGGAGAUGUGCAGGACUAAGGCGACUGUGUGAUGUCUGCACAGUUCGAAAGCCCGCUUUCCUGUUACUUUCAAAUCUCGGGUCAGCAUUUUGGAACUUUUCUGCUUUAAUUUUUCCACACACACCUCUCACUGCAACCACCUACCAUCACCACAACCCAAAACAAAGCAAACAAACAGAAAGCUUGAGCAAGAAUUUACAUCUGGGAAAACGCUUCUAUUCAUCAAGAGUGGAAUUCCUUUUUAUUCCUAUAAUUGACUCACAGCUUCAAAAAUCUGUGAAGUCAUACUUUGGUCACGGAAGUUGCAAGAAACCAUAUUUGCAAACAUUUUAUUUUAAAGAAGGUAUUUAAAAAUAUUUUACAUAUUAGCCACAGAUUUCUAGAAGUGAAGUUAUAAAAAUUAGAAAUUAUAUUUUGCCUUUUGAUGAUAGCAAGUGAAAAGAGAUUGCUCCAAGAAUGUUUUCAAUAAAUUCAGUAUAACUGCAACACAAAAAUUCUGCAUGCAGGCUUCAUACACACACAUUAUAAUUUUAUGCAUUUAUCUUGAGAGUUGUAUAAUUAAUUUUAAAAAUGCAACAGAAAUGUGAAGUUGUCUACUUUGCCAAUAAUGGAAAUGUCUCAUAGAUAAUUUUGAAUACAAUUAAAAUUUUGUUAUCAUAAAAGGAACUAUCCUGUUGCUCAUUAUUAGUAUGUUGUCUACUUACUGUUCUAUUUUUAGCUAAAUCAAAUUUAACUAGAGGAAAAAGAAAAUGUUGUGCAAUACCAAGGAUGAGCAAAGUUUUGUGGGUAAACUAAUUGAGAUGGUUAAUUUUGGCAUUAACUCUUUGGGCAAUAUCAUUCUUGUUAAAAUUUAAGUAAGGAACUAGUAGAAAUACUUUAUUCCUUAAUCAAACUACCUGUUUUUUAAAAAAAAUUGCCAAAGAAGAAACUAAAAAAUUAGCACAUAUCCUGUUAAAGAGCCAUCAACAUCCCAUUGGAAACUCUAGCACUCUGACUUUGGAUGUGUACGACGGUCUGUUCAUUUAGUAUAUGUAUUACACAGCCUCAUUUGCAUCAUCACCUUAUAAAGCCAGAGAGACUCUCAUUUGCUUUCUGUUUUUCUUCUUUCCCCUAAGGACUACAAUGGUUAUAUACUUUCAAAUAUUCACAGACGAGAUAUUCUGGGUAAAUAAUCUAAGAUUAACUAAAUUAGGUCAAUGUUCAUACAGGGCCAGUGUGAUAUAUCCCUUGUGCUGAAAUUAUCUGGCGUCAGCUACAUUGAUUGAAAAAGCACUACAGACCCAAAAGGAAAAAAAAAAAAAACAACACACAACUCUUAUUACAAGAUGUCUCAAAAGCAGAUAAGAAAGCAACAAAGUCUUCUGGUAAAUGAGGGACCUUAUCUAGAUUUUAAUAUGGCAGUAGGCAAAUUACAAAUGUUUCUGCAAGUUAGACAACUUGCACGGGAAAACAGACGUUCCUAAAGUUCCCAUAAUUCUAAGCCAGUUAUAGAGUUUGCACAUCAUCUGUG
ensembl:lincRNA